CAGGGAAAUAGGUCACUGUGUCACGGUCCAUGUUCCAGGGACUGUGCUUCUGCCUGCUAAAAUUCCGAACGGAUCAAGAUUUCUGUCAGACCCAAGCUGCCACCACUUAGAAGCCUGGCUGCCUUUGGAGUGACAAACGCCUCCUCCAAACUGGUAUCAGGAAAGUGGGACGGCAAGUCACCAUGCAAGCUCACUUUCAGUCAUAGAGUGUAAGUGGAAAUCAUUGUGGUGCGGCGUCCGGACUUGAGAGCGGUAUUCCGCAGCAAAUCUGACCUAUCCGCUUGGCCGUCUUGGAACUGACUAGUUUCUGCUACUCGCAGGCAUAUCGAAUAGGUGUACUUUCCAUGGGAAACUCUCA